AGUGAACGCUGGCGGCGUGCCUCAUACAUGCAAGUCGAACGGAGUGGCGCACGGGUGAGUAAUGUAUAGCUAAUCUGCCCUACACUAGAGAACAACAGUUGGAAACGGCUGCUAAUACUCUAUAGUGUAGGAUGAGGCUAUAUUGUAUCAGCUAGUGGGUGCUGUAUUGGCUCACCAAGGCUAUGACUGAUAACUGGUCGGAGAGGAUGUUCAGUCACUCUGGAACGGAGACACGGGCAAGACUCCUACGGGAGGCAGCAGUAGGUAAUAUUGCUCAAUGGGGGAAACCCUGAAGCAUCAACGCCGCGUGGAGGAUGACACUUUUCGGAGCGUAAACUCCUUUUGUUAGGGAAGCGGUACCUAACGAAUAAGCACCGGCUAACUCCGUGCCAGCAGCCGCGGUAAUUC
rnacentral:rRNA from 1 species